GAGAGAGAUGGCUGCAGGAAUGUG
rnacentral:piRNA from 1 species